rnacentral:rRNA from 1 species
UCUUUUUGUUUAUAAUUUAAAGUUUAACCUGCCCACUGAAAGUUAAAUGGCCGCGGUAUUUUGACCGUGCUAAGGUAGCAUAAUCAUUAGUUUUUUAAUUGAAAGCUGGAAUGAAGGGUUGAAUGAAAAAAUUACUGUCUUAAAUUGAAUUUAUUAAAACUUUAUUUUUAAGUUAAAAAGCUUAAAUUUUUUUAAAAGACGAGAAGACCCUAUAGAGUUUUAUAGAAUUUUUUUUUUAAAAUUUUAGUAUUUUAAUUUUUAGAGAUUUAUUUUUAUUUAGUUGGGGUGAUUGAAAAAUUUAAUAAACUUUUUUUUAGUUUUAAUAUUUAUUGAUAAAUUAAUGAUCCUAUAUUUUAGAUUAUAAGAAAAAAUUACCUUAGGGAUAACAGCGUAAUUUUAUUAUAGAGUUCAAAUCGACAAUAAAGUUUGCGACCUCGAUGUUGG